GAUGAACGCUGGCGGCGUGCCUAAUACAUGCAAGUCGAGCGAACAGACGAGGUGCUUGCUCCUCUGACGUUAGCGGCGGACGGGUGAGUAACACGUGGAUAACCUACCUAUAAGACUGGGAUAACUUCGGGAAACCGGAGCUAAUACCGGAUAAUAUAUUGAACCGCAUGGUUCAAUAGUGAAAGACGGUUUUGCUGUCACUUAUAGAUGGAUCCGCGCCGCAUUAGCUAGUUGGUAAGGUAACGGCUUACCAAGGCAACGAUGCGUAGCCGACCUGAGAGGGGGAUCGGCCACACUGGAACUGAGACACGGUCCAGACUCCUACGGGGGGCAGCAGUAGGGAAUCUUCCGCAAUGGGCGAAAGCUUGACGGGGCAACGCCGCGUGAGUGAUGAAGGUCUUCGGAUCGUAAAACUCGGUUAUUAGGGAAGAACAAAUGUGUAAGUAACUAUGCACGUCUUGACGGUACCUAAUCAGAAAGCCACGGCUAACUACGUG
rnacentral:rRNA from 1 species